GUAGGUGGCAAGCGUUGUCCGGAAUUAUUGGGCGUAGAGCGCGCGCAGGCGGUUCUUUAAGUCUGAUGUGAAAGCCCACGGCUCAACCGUGGAGGGUCAUUGGAAACUGGAGAACUUGAGUACAGAAGAGGAAAGCGGAAUUCCACGUGUAGCGGUGAAAUGCGUAGAGAUGUGGAGGAACACCAGUGGCGAAGGCGGCUUUCUGGUCUGUAACUGACGCUGAGGCGCGAAAGCGUGGGGAGCAAACAGGAUUAGAUACCCUGGUAGUCCACGCCGUAAACGAUGAGUGCUAAGUGUUAGGGGGUUUCCGCCCCCCUUAGUGCUGCAGCUAACGCAUUAAGCACUCCGCCUGGGAGUACGACCGCAAGGUGG
rnacentral:rRNA from 1 species